rnacentral:rRNA from 1 species
UUCGCCCUUAGAGUUUGAUCUCUGGCUCAGGACGAACGCUGGCGGCGUGCCUAACACAUGCAAGUCGAGCGAUGAAAGAGAAAUGGAAUUCUUCGGAAUGAAAUUUUUCUGGAUUAGCGGCGAACGGGUGAGUAACACGUGAGCAAUCUGCCUUUCACAAAGGGAUAGCCUCGGGAAACUGGGAUUAAUACCAUAUGAGACUACAUUAUUACAUGAUAAAGUAGUUAAAGCGAAUAAGCGGUGAAAGAUGAGCUCGCGUCCCAUUAGCUAGUUGGUGAGAUAAAAGCCCACCAAGGCAACGAUGGGUAGCCGGCCUGAGAGGGUGAACGGCCACAUUGGAACUGAGACACGGUCCAAACUCCUACGGGAGGCAGCAGUGGGGAAUAUUGCACAAUGGAGGGAACUCUGAUGCAGCGACGCCGCGUGAACGAUGAAGGCUUUCGAGUCGUAAAGUUCUGUCCUAUGGGAAGAUAAUGACGGUACCAUAGGAGGAAGCCCCGGCUAACUACGUGCCAGCAGCCGCGGUAAUACGUAGGGGGCGAGCGUUGUCCGGAAUUAUUGGGCGUAAAGGGUUCGCAGGCGGUAAUGUAAGUCUGAUGUGAAAUCCUGUGGCUAAACCACAGUAAGCAUUAGAAACUGCAUAACUUGAGUCAAGGAGAGGUAAGUGGAAUUCCUAGUGUAGCGGUGAAAUGCGUAGAUAUUAGGAGGAAUACCAGUGGCGAAGGCGACUUUCUGGACUUAUACUGACGCUGAGGAACGAAAGCGUGGGGAGCAAACAGGAUUAGAUACCCUGGUAGUCCACGCCGUAAACGAUGAGUGCUAGGUGUUGGGGGUCAAACCUCGGUGCCGCAGCUGAGGCAUUAAGCACUCCGCUCUGGGGAGUAGCGUACGCAAGUAUGAAACUCAAAGGAAUUGACGGGGACCCGCACAAGCAGCGGAGCAUGUGGUUUAAUUUGAAGCAACGUGAAGAGCCUUAUCAGGGCUUGACAUGCCCCUGACCGCAUCAGCGAUAGUGCUUGACGUUCGGGUUCAGGGGACACAGGUGGUGCAUGGUAGUCGUCUACGACUGGUGUCGUGAGAUGUUGGGUUAAGUCCCGCACCGACGCGCAUACCCUUGCCGUUAGUUGCCAGCAUUAAGUUGGGCAGUCUAGAGGGGUUUCCGAUGAUGAAUGGGGGGAAGGUGGGGAUGACGUCAAAUCAUCAUGCCCUCUAUGUCUUGGCCCCCCCGCGUGCUCCAAUGGUGGGUACGGCGAGUAGGUACCGAGGGAUAGGAUGCCGAUCUCUUAAAGCCGCUCCCAGCUGGGAUGGCCGGGUGCAACUCGCGUGCAUGAAGUGGGAGUAGCGAGUAAUCGAGGAUCAGAACGCCGCGG